rnacentral:rRNA from 1 species
UUCAAACACCUAGCUCAACCAACCCCUCAAACAUAAACCACAUAAAUCAANAACAAACCAUUUGAUACUACUAGUAAAGGAGAUUGAACAU